AUCCAAUACGGGCCUAUACUGCAGUCGAACGCUUUGUGGUUCAACUGAUUUGAAGAGCUUGCUCAGAUAUGACGAUGGACAUUGCAAAGAGUGGCGAACGGGUGAGUAACACGUGGGAAACCUACCUCUUAGCAGGGGAUAACAUUUGGAAACAGAUGCUAAUACCGUAUAACAAUAGCAACCGCAUGGUUGCUACUUAAAAGAUGGUUCUGCUAUCACUAAGAGAUGGUCCCGCGGUGCAUUAGUUAGUUGGUGAGGUAAUGGCUCACCAAGACGAUGAUGCAUAGCCGAGUUGAGAGACUGAUCGGCCACAAUGGGACUGAGACACGGCCCAUACUCCUACGGGAGGCAGCAGUAGGGAAUCUUCCACAAUGGGCGAAAGCCUGAUGGAGCAACGCCGCGUGUGUGAUGAAGGGUUUCGGCUCGUAAAACACUGUUGUAAGAGAAGAAUGACAUUGAGAGUAACUGUUCAAUGUGUGACGGUAUCUUACCAGAAAGGAACGGCUAAAUACGUGCCAGCAGCCGCGGUAAUACGUAUGUUCCAAGCGUUAUCCGGAUUUAUUGGGCGUAAAGCGAGCGCAGAGGUUAUUUAAGUCUGAAGUGAAAGCCCUCAGCUCAACUGAGGAAUUGCUUUGGAAACUGGAUGACUUGAGUGCAGUACAGGAAAGUGGAACUCCAUGUGUAGCGGUGAAAUGCGUAGAUCUAUGGAAGAACACCAGUGGCGAAGGCGGCUUUCUGGACUGUAACUGACGUUGAGGCUCGAAAGGUGGGUAGCAACAGGAUACCCGGGGGCAAACAAAAAAAAAAUCCUUUCCGCGCGGGCCGCAGCCGAGAAAACCAAA
rnacentral:rRNA from 1 species